AGCAGUCGCCACGGUAAUACGGAGGGUGCAAGCGUUAAUCGGAAUUACUGGGCGUAAAGCGCACGCAGGCGGUUUGUUAAGUCAGAUGUGAAAUCCCCGAGCUUAACUUGGGAACUGCAUUUGAAACUGGCAAGCUAGAGUCUUGUAGAGGGGGGUAGAAUUCCAGGUGUAGCGGUGAAAUGCGUAGAGAUCUGGAGGAAUACCGGUGGCGAAGGCGGCCCCCUGGACAAAGACUGACGCUCAGGUGCGAAAGCGUGGGGAGCAAACAGGAUUAGAUACCCCGGUAGUCCCUGUCUCUUAUAC
rnacentral:rRNA from 1 species